GGACCCGCACAAGUAGUGGAGCAUGUGGUUUAAUUCGAAGAUACGCGCAGAACCUUACCAACACUUGACAUGUUCGUCGCGACUCUAAGAGAUUAGAGUUUUCGGUUCGGCCGGACGAAACACAGGUGCUGCAUGGCUGUCGUCAGCUCGUGUCGUGAGAUGUUGGGUUAAGUCCCGCAACGAGCGCAACCCUCACUUUUAGUUGCCAUCAUUAAGUUGGGCACUCUGAAAGAACUGCCAGUGAUAAGCUGGAGGAAGGUGGGGAUGACGUCAAGUCCUCAUGGCCCUUACGUGUUGGGCUACACACGUGCUACAAUGGUAUCUACAACAGGAAGCAAGACUGCGAAAGCGCG
rnacentral:rRNA from 1 species